rnacentral:misc_RNA from 1 species
UACGGAAGGGGCGAGCGUUGUUCGGAAUCAUUGGGCGUAAAGCGCGUGUAGGCGGCCGAGCAAGUCGGGGGUGAAAGAUCUACGGCUCAACCGAGAAAUUGCCUCCGAUACUGCCUGGCUUGAGUUCGGUAGAGGUGAGUGGAAUUCCUGGUGUAGCGGUGAAAUGCGUAGAUAUCAGGAGGAACACCGGUGGCGAAGGCGGCUCACUGGACCGAUACUGACGCUGAGACGCGAAAGCGUGGGGAGCGAACGGG